AUUGAACGCUAGCGGGAUGCUUUACACAUGCAAGUCGAACGAGUGGCGGACGGGUGAGUAAUAUAUCGGAACGUGCCCAGUAGCGGGGGAUACCUACGCGAAAGAGUUGCUAAUACCGCAUACUCUUGGAGCGGUCGGUAUCGGAUUAGGUAGGUGGUGGGGUAAAGGCUCACCAAGGCAACGAUCCGGAGCGGGUUUGAGAGGACGACCAGCCACACUGGGACUGAGACACGGCCCAGACUCCUACGGGAGGCAGCAGUGGGGAAUUUUGGACAAUGGGGGAAACCCUGAUCCAGCCAUCCCGCGUGUAUGAGAAGGCCUUCGGGUUGUAAAGUACUUUUGGCAGGGAAGCGGUAUCUGCAGAAUAAGCACCGGCUAACUACGUGCCAGCAGCCGCGGUAAUUC
rnacentral:rRNA from 1 species